GAAUUGACGAUAAACAAGGGCUCUUACACUUCAAGACUAUUAAACACGUACAAUAAGGAAGAGAUAGACCAUCGUGUAUCGUCCUAUUACAGCAUUGUCGUUACGAGGAACCCAAUAGAAAGAAUAUAAAGGACAAGAAUAAUCAACAAGUACCGUUUUUGGCAUUCAUAAGAGCAGCAACUGAUAACAGAAAAGAAUGGCAGAAUAGACACUGGAUUCCUGUUUCAGAUGCUUGCAUCCCUUGUAAGAUUCACUAUGACUACAUAGCACACACAGAGACGCUAGCUGAUGACCUGCGUCUCUUUCUCCGGAAAGUGGGAGUCACAAAUCGGGAUGACAUACUGCCACGGACAAAAAAAAGAGGAGCAGAGAAAAAACUUCGGAACCUCUUCGGAUUAAUUCCAUUGGAAGAUUUGAGAAGAGUUGCAAGAAAGUUUAAAGCUGACUUUGAGAUGUUCGGAUAUUCCUAUGAAGAAGAAGUAUUAAAGUUAUCGCAGCCUUAGUUGUUUACAGAGA